rnacentral:misc_RNA from 1 species
AUUCUUCAACCCUCUCUUUUCUUAGUGAUUAGAGAGAAGUUUGGAUUCUGAGUGUUGCUCCUAACCCGAGCUCAUUCGUAAUGUAUUAGCAUCCAUAUUCGAAUUUCGGAUUGACUUGGCGUAAUAGACUAUUCGCUGAGGAAUCUAACUUUGGUUAGAGCCGUGUUUGAACUAGGAAGCUACUAAUCUAGCUUAGUCUACUUUUAG